AGGGUAUCCUGUUGGAGAUCCUUGCGUACCUUGGGCCUUCAUGAGGUUGCUUUUACAAAAUCCCUGGGUUUCCAUUGAAGCUGGGGACUUGUUUCCAGUGCGAUCCUGGAGUGCUUGAGUAACAGUUCUUACAAAAGAUAUUUCACCAGACUAGUGCCAUUUCAUUCUAAUUCAUUGGUCACUUGGUUUGCUGUUGACCAUCAACCAUCACUGUUAGUUGUGAAGAUCUGAGCCUCAGAAGAGGAGUUCUUAUAAAAUAUCACUGAAAUCCGUUUCAAGUAGUUUGGAUGACAGGAUCCACAUCUGAAUGUGACAGUGAUGUGUUACCAGUGUUUUUCAGUACCAGAUUUACCUGAUCUUGCAAAAGAAGAUGCAAGAGUAUAGUCAUACUAUAUGUCUCUAUAGUCAUAGAACAUGACAUACUGAACCUCCUGCAUUAAAACAAGACCUUUUUAAGAUUGUGUCUUAUGUGAAUUUGUGACUUCAUUAUUCUGUAUGUCAGUAACUUAUUGAUAGUUUUAAAACUUGGCUUUGGUAAGGGUCAGAAAUGAGAUGGAGUUCUGCCUGCACAGAACUUUCCAGCAUCACCAUAAGAAACAUGGAUGUUUGAUAAAAGCAUGAAAGUAUCUGCUUUUCUUGUGAAGAACUGUUAAAGGGCAGUGAUCAUCACACAUGAGCCUAGCUGAAAACUGAGAAAAGUAGCAUGAGGUUAAUGUCCAUUUUAAGGUACGUAAUUGAUCAAUCUCCUAUUUUAUACUGCUGACAAUCAACAGAGGAGUAUAGGGUGGUUAUCAAAAUGUGGAUUUAAACCUUUUAGUUGGAACCUUGACCAUUGCCUACUUCUGAUACUCGUUCUUUGUGUUAACAGUAACUC